rnacentral:tRNA from 1 species
GCCGGCGGGCGCCGAAACCAGUUCACUCGUAAUGAAGGGGUCCCCGGUUCGAGUCCGGGCGUCGGCU